CCACUACUCUUUUGGGAGGUACCAGGUCCUAGGUUAGGGCCACAGGUGUUCCUGACAUUUGCAAAAGGUGUUCCAGUUCUUCAGUUUUCAAACUUGAACAUCUGAAAGGUGGAAAAGCUGAAUUGGGAAAAUAGAUUUCUAAAACGAGGGCUUAUUCCUGAAUACUCCAAAAAAUUAGUUUGCACAUGAGUUAGCUUGAGAACCUCAAUUGUGGGUAGCAGGCAGGUCUGGGGACGAGAAAGAGGCCCACAACCCAGGCACCUGGUACCUUCCCAGUAGUCCCAGUACGUCGCAAUCAGCACCCUGGGCGUGUGCCAGGAGCCCAGCCCCACUGUGAAGUCUGCCCUGCAUGCUGGCCAUGGCCUGGCCCACCUCCUGCUCCACGUGGUGGCCGAUGCCUCCAGAAUCAGCGGGAAGGAGUCGGCCCUUCCUGGACUUCCCUGCCACCUCCAGCAGGAGCAGCUCAGCUUGUAGGGGCUCCGCUUUUGCAAACCCAAAGGCCAUGCCUUUGGAAGCCAAACACCCAGCAUGUGGCUGGCACGUCUGGUUCUGUGGACAAAGCCAACUGUGGAAUGGCUUCUCAGUGUCUGAACCUUUUUACACCAAAGGGACAAACUGUCGCAUCUACCCCUUGUUCUAACUCUGCUUCUGCAUUUGCCCUAUCCGUUUUUAACCUUUUUGUCGCCAGGGAACUUCUCGUCUGAUUAUUAUGUCUUCUGAUGAUUUGCCGUAUUAUUUUACUUACAGGUGAUUUUAUUUUCUUAAGGACAGGAAAAAAAGAAAAGGAAAGGAGUGACUGAGGCAUUAGUCAUAGAGAUAAGACAUCACCAGGGACUCUUGAAAGCCCCAAGAGCUAGUUAAAUUGCUUCUCAAAGGAAAAUCUCAGUCUGGACAGAGUAAGAUUCCUGGGCCCUCCCGGGAAUUUUGCACUUUGGGGUGCAGGGGCCCUGGGCAGGGUUGGCGGCCAUGCUUCGGGAGAGCUAAAGAAGGAAUGAGAACAUCAGCUCAGGUGUUCAUCUUGCAGCACUGCAGCCUGCCACACUCCUUCCCAGGGUGCGUGGCCCUGUCGGAGUGGUACAAGACGCUGUCCAGAUGGUGACAGAAACACUGCAACUUCGCAGCAGCAUCUUUGCUUUGAAAGAUGGUGCGGCGUGUUUCAGAGAACAUUUAUCUUAGUCCCACAUUCAGGCAAGAAGACAAAGAUAACAUUCUGUCCAGAAUAAAUUUUGGAACAAUUUCUAAAUUGGCUUCAGUACACAUAAUGUAAUUGCCCUUCUUUCGGCUCUCCCAACAGUAAGCAUGUUUUCCAAAAGCUGACCACAUCGAACCCAGGAAUGUCCCUGUAUCUACUAUUACCAGGCUUGCAGUUGGUUAAAUUUUGUCAUAAAAACAUGCUUGUCCAAAAGAAGGGAAAUGUGCAUCUAGUCCGUGCAUGUAAUAAACCCUGCAAGAAGUUUAACCCACGUAGGUUUGCGGCACUGCAAAAUUGUUCAUGGGUCUAUGUAGCAAAUGAUUCUCUGCCUUGACAAUCAUGUAUACAUAUCAAGAUUUGUAUCAUAAUGAUAAUGGGAUUGAUGACUUGUUUUCUCCAAUAAAGACAAUUAAUCACCUUCA